GUAGGGGGCAAGCGUUGUCCGGAUUUAUUGGGCGUAAAGAGCGUGUAGGCGGUUAGGUAGGUCCGUUGUGAAAACUCGAGGCUCAACCUCGAGACGCCGAUGGAAACCAUCUGACUAGAGUCCGGAAGAGGAGAGUGGAAUUCCUGGUGUAGCGGUGAAAUGCGCAGAUAUCAGGAAGAACACCCGUGGCUAAGGCGGCUCUCUAGUACGUGACUGACGCUGAGACGCGAAAGCGUGGGGAGCGAACAGGAUUAGAUACCCUGGUAGUCCACGCCGUAAACGAUGGGUGCUAGGUGUAGGGGGUGUCAACUCCCUCUGUGCCGAAGCUAACGCAUUAAGCACCCCGCCUGGGGAGUACGGCCGCAAGGCUA
rnacentral:rRNA from 1 species